CGGCAAUCUGGUUGUUUCUGUCUCUAGUGACAGUGUUAACAAACUCAGACUUCAAAUCAGAUUUAUUUAAUUACAGCGUUUACUUCUGAUUACAUGUAUUCUUAGUUAUCUUCUUCCUUUCAUCUUGUUCACUUCAGGAGGAGACAUGCAGGCAUUUCUGAAAGGACCUUCAACACAGAAGCGCAGAAAUCGUCCUCCUCGUCUUGAGAGAAGCCGUGAGCUAUGCUCUGGUUGGAGAAAUAGUGAGACUUCAUCAUCAUAUCUGCGUAUAUGUGUUAUAGGACUGGGCGAUAGGACGAUGUAAUCAGAUAUCAAUGAUGUCUUACAAAGAUCCCAUUGCCGAUUGCAAACAGAUGAUUCUGUUGAUCCUGAAGACAUGAAUUCAACCUCUCAAUGUCUUCAUGCUUUGGACACUGUGUUUCAUGGAGCCUUGAAAUUCAUAGCAAAUUUAAAAUCUCGCACUCAUCACUGUUUACUGUAUUCUCGGGUAGGAUGGUUGUCCCUCUCUAUUCUGCGUUGGAUGCACUGGCAUCUUUUCAUUUGCAGUAUUAGGACUCCUUCCUCCUUAUCUGAAAACGUACAUUAUUCCAAGGUCUGCAGGGACAUAUUACCUGCGCUCACAAAAUUUGUUUUUAUUGGCAGUCCCUAAAGCCUGUACUGUUUUUGGAAAAAAGGCUUUUAGUAUUGCAGCACCAUCAGCAUGGAAUCAGAUACAAAAUGAGCUACAGUUGAAGGAGUUGAGGUGGAUGAGUGUCUGGCUGAUGUGUGUCUUCAGGAGGUGGAUGAGUGUCUGGCAGAUGUUUGUGUGUCUUCGGGAGUUGGAUGAGUGUCUGGCAGAUGUUCGUGUGGUUUGUGUGUCUUCAGGAGGUGGUUUAGUGUCUGGCAGAUGUUCGUGUGGUUUGUGUGUCUUCAGGAGGUGGAUGAGUGUCUGGCAGAUGUUCGUGUGUCUUUGGGAGGUGGAUGAGUGUCUGGCAGAUGUUUGUGUUAUUUGUGUGUCUUCGGGAGGUGGAUGAGUGUCUGGCAGAUGUUUGUGUUGUUUGUGUGUCUUCGGGAGGUGGAUGAGUGUCUGGCAGAUGUUUGUGUGUCUUCGGGAGGUGGAUGAGUGUCUGGCAGAUGUUCGUGUGUCUUCGGGAGGUGGAUGAGUGUCUGGCAGAUGUUUGUGUUGUUUGUGUGUCUUCGGGAGGUGGAUGAGUGUCUAGCAGAUGUUCGUGUGGUUUGUGUGUCUUCAGGAGGUGGAUGAGUGUCUGGCAGAUGUUUGUGUGUCUUCGGGAGGUGGAUGAGUGUCUGGCAGAUGUUCAUGUGGUUUGUGUGUCUUCGGGAGGUGGAUGAGUGUCUGGCAGAUGUUUGUGUGGUUUGUGUGUCUUCGGGAGGUGGAUGAGUGUCUGGCAGAUGUUCGUGUGGUUUGUGUGUCUUUAGGA